GGCAGGCCUAACACAUGCAAGUCGAGCGGAAACGAGUUAUCUGAACCUUCGGGGAACGUUAACGGCGUCGAGCGGCGGACGGGUGAGUAAUGCCUAGGAAAUUGCCCUGAUGUGGGGGAUAACCAUUGGAAACGAUGGCUAAUACCGCAUGAUGCCUACGGGCCAAAGAGGGGGACCUUCGGGCCUCUCGCGUCAGGAUAUGCCUAGGUGGGAUUAGCUAGUUGGUGAGGUAAGGGCUCACCAAGGCGACGAUCCCUAGCUGGUCUGAGAGGAUGAUCAGCCACACUGGAACUGAGACACGGUCCAGACUCCUACGGGAGGCAGCAGUGGGGAAUAUUGCACAAUGGGCGCAAGCCUGAUGCAGCCAUGCCGCGUGUGUGAAGAAGGCCUUCGGGUUGUAAAGCACUUUCAGUCGUGAGGAAGGUUUAUGCGUUAAUAGCGUAUAGAUUUGACGUUAGCGACAGAAGAAGCACCGGCUAACUCCGUG
rnacentral:rRNA from 1 species